CAGGCUGGAAACGUGACUAUGGUUAGUCUAAAGCCGAAAAUAAAAUAAAAAAAUUGAUGUGUGGAUUUGAACUGGAUUGAAUAAACAAGGACUUUGGAUUUAUCUCAUUAUUAUGGCAAGUCCCAUCACAGGCUGAAAAUGUGGUACUUUGGUAAGCCCCAUCAUAGGCUGUAAAUGUGGAACUAAAAUUGGCUGGCCUUGCCACAAGCUGAAAAUGUGAUACUUGGCAGCCCCAUCACAGACUAGUAAAUGUGGAACUAAAAUUGGCAGGCCCUGCCACAGGCUGAAAAUGUAAUACUUUGGCAGCCCCAUAAUAGGCUGGAGAAUAUGACCGAGAUUUGGCCCAAAGUCGAUAAAAUAAUUGAUCUGGAUCAAAUUAAAAGGAAUGGAAAGAAAGCAUUGAAAUCAUUAAUGAAGAUUUAUGUAAAUAUCAUAUGCUAUAUCACUCUUGAGUGGAUGUAUUUCUAUUGAUAUUUGAUGUUCAUAUGUACAUAUUGAUUAUUCGAAAAUUAUUAAUAGCCGAUUUAUGAUUUCAUGAUAUGUGCAUCGAUUUUUUGUGGUUUUCAAAUUCAUAUUAUUAUUGUGUUGGUAUGGAUGUGUGGGGAUUCUUACUAGGCUAUAAAGCUCACCACCCCUUCUUCUUUCUCUUUUUCAGAGAUGCAGGAUGCAUAGAUAUGGAUGGGAUCGACGUAGAGCACGAGUGGCAGAGUCAGUUAGAUAGUUUAUUUUGAUACCAAUGAACAUUGAAAGCUCUUGUAAUUGAACCAAUUUGAUUAUUUAGAUAUAUUGGAUUUAUCUAUUUGAGUUAAGUGAUUAAUUGUAGAAUUAUUGGAUUUUUGUUCAUCUUAAGCCUUGCAUGAUCUUUAGGGUACUGCUCUAGUGCUCAUGCGGCCGGUCGCGUACUGGACCCAGGUGCUGGGUUUGGGGCAUGACACAACCACCUGGUUUCUUUUGAAACUUAUCCACAAAAAGAAUUGCCAGUCUUCUUUCUUCAGCUGCGAAUCAUGAAACAGGGGCCCCAUGUACUUCAUGGGCAAAGAUUGGCAUGGGCAAUUCAACAACUUAGAAUAUCUAUAACGAAUAAAAGAUGAAUUUUUUUUUUUUUGAGUAAGGUGGUCGUUCUUAGAUGAUGGAGCGAUUUACCUAAUUAAUUCCAUUGAUAAACGAGACCUUGCUCCUUUUGUAGACUGACAAAUGUUUAUUAAUAUCUUAGUUAAAUAAGCAAAACACCAAGUAUUAUUAAUUAGCUAGCCGGAAGAUAUUACUUGGAUUUUUUGUCUUUGUAUAAGUGCCCAAAAUCUAUCCUGUGCAUAGAUGAUGUGGUUCUAAACACACGCCCUUACGACUUAGGCAUGGUUGCAUCCACAUCUUGAGCAUGAAGUGCCUGAGACAAAGAUUCUAGUAGGAUGGCAUAUGAAUCCAUCUGAAAGCUGAGUAUCAUAAAAAUACAUAACACUCCAUUAAUUUCUAAAUUACAGUUGGUUUGCUAAUUUGCAUAACACCAGACCGAUAUACUGACAUGGAAACAGGAUGUUUCCUUCCCUUCUUGCAACUGAAAUAACAAAGAAACAGCAAAAUCCAACAUGACUCAAAGCCACCUAGACACGAAUGCGAGCUGAUAGUUCCGAAAAAUACAAGUAAGACACCAUCCAAAAUUGCUUGCCAUCUGAAGUACAGAAAGAACUGCUCUUGCCCCUGCAGUAGUACACAAGUAAAUGCUCAUCAUUGUUCACUAUUUGAGUACCUCGAGGUCCAGUACUUCUCAAUCUCUUCAGCUGUUCUUCCAGGAAUCCUUCCAGCAAUCAGAGACCACCUAUGUGGAAACAAUAUUCACAAGGUAAAUCAGCAAGUGAGCUCCUAGUUUUCAUAUCUAUUCCUUCCUGUGUGUGUGUGUGUGUGUGUGUNNNNNNNNNNNNNNNNNNNNNNNNNNNNNNNGAGAGAGAGAGAGAGGAGUGAAGUCUCGCAAAUGGUAGUAUGGAGUCAUUUUAAAUUUGACCAGGAAUACUGAACAUUCUAUUACAGUAUAGAGUAACUCUAAAUUUGAUCAGAGAUACUAGACAUGCUACUCUCAACAAAGGAAUGCAACUAUAGUUUUUUUAUAUAUAUAAACUUCAAGCUUGCUCUCAGAUGACCACCUUAAACAAAGAAAAACCCAACAAACCUAUCUCCAAGCAAAUUAUACAUCCUGGCAAUCAGUGUCUCCUCAUCCUCUGUGAACUCCACCUUGGAAUCCUGACUGUUCCCUUCUGAAACAAACAUCCAACAAUGUCAGAAACAGGACAGCAAUCCCAAAUGGGAACAGAUGAGAGAUCAAGGAAAUGAAUGGAAACCAAGGAGUGGAGGCAGAGUUUUAAGUGGAGAAAAGGGCACCAAUUGCAAAAUGGUACCUCUGGUAUCUACAGAGACAUCCUCAGAUGAUUGAUCCAAGUCAGCCAUCCUUCAACAAUUGCAGGAGAUUCCAGCAAUAAUCCGCUCAGAGCCUGCACAGCCUACUUCCUCGGAGGAAUCCUUAGCUCAAGGUUGAAUUAUAUGGGGGUUCAUGGGGGUGUAUUAGCUCUUUAAGUAGUACUAGGUGUUCUAGGGAGUAGUAGAAUGUGUGGUGGGAAUGAGAGGGAAGACUGGUAGGUGCUGCCAUAAGUAAGCGUGUGGAGUUUGAUUGGUGGUUGGAAAAGGAUGUUGGGUGGUUAUUUUGGUCACUUCCUUCUUCCAGUGCCCCAGCUCUCUAUUUCUUUGGGCUUGAAGUGACUUCUUACUGCAUCUAAUGGAUAAGGUAUGUCGAAAAUUUGGUUAUCCUUUGAAUAGUUGUCAGAUUAGAACAUCUUUUAUGAUCAAGGGAUUAUAUAAUCACGGUGCCGUGCUAUGUAACAGUGGCAUGAUAACUUCUUUCUUCUACUUCCCAGACAAUACCAACCUUUCUGUCUCCACAAGUUCGAGAAGACAUGCUUUUGUAGAUAGGAGACUAGAAGAGGUACUUGAGUGGAGAGGGGUGCAGCAGUACAUAAGGUUCAAGCUUUCUUUCUUCUGUCCUUUUUCAGUUGUUGUGAAGGUUCAAACUCUCUUUAGUAUUGAAUGCAACAGAGGAUGGAAGAAUUUAGUUAGUCAGUAUUGGAAAUGAAUGCGGAAAGUUCAUGCAUGUUAACGUACAAGUGACAAAGUAGAACUUUGACAAAUUCAUAUGUUGUAAUGUUGAUAUUUUUCUAAGGAAAAAAGAAAGCUUGCUUUAAAUCAUCUUUAGAGAUGCUUUCUACAUUUUUUCUGGCUAGUCCCCUUUAUCACUGUAUCAGAUCAAGGGUCAUUUGCAUGAAUGAAAGUGGGCCAGUCUGCAGGUCAACUGUUACAUUUGAUCAUGGAUUUUGAAACAAAUAGAAACAGCAAACAAUAAACAAGAGUGGCAGGAUCAGUCCUUGUGCACAAAAUUCGUGCAGACAUAAAGCUUUAGCUAAAUAACAGUUUUAUGAAACCAACAAUUGCUUCCUUGAGGAUACUAUUGCUCAUCAAUUAUCUCAUGAAAGAAAAACAAAUAUUCUGUUUCCAAUAUACAACCUUGAUGCACACCAAACUAAGAAAACUCUAAGAUCAUGCUCGAAGAAGUCAUAUACUUUAGAUACUAAACCCGUAAAAUCAAAUAGCAAUAUACGAAUAACAGAAACCACAUUCUCUUGCAAAAAAAUCACAAAGUCAAAAUCCAAAGCAAGAAACAUCCAAAGUAAUUAAAAGAACAAUUUUUUUCCCAGCAGUUCUCUUGAUAGCAUCUAGAUAGCCUAUUCAUUUGGACAAUUCGUAUAUAUUGAGCUAAUACUGGAGAUGUUAGAAACGAUAUUUGUCGAUAGACAAUUAAUUAGCAUGAAUUUCUUUCUUCUAGAAGCGAGAGUCUCUGCACGUUCUUUCGCCGCUUGAUUAUACAAAAUUAUAAAAAAAUUAUAGUUCUCUUCUAGAGGUUCCACAAUCCUUCCUUCUGAAGCAUUAUAACAAAAUUAUAAACAUAAUAUUGGAAUAUAUGUAGAAAAUUUUUACCUUGAGGUAAGCGAACAUGAUGGGUAAAGAUUGAUUACCAAGGCCAAAAGAUUGGUCAAAUCGACACAUGAAGAGAAAAUUUUCUACUUAGUUUAUCAUAAUAGAAGAUUGGCGAAUUCUCUUUCUAUAUGUUACAAUACCCUCGAGAACUCAAAGCAAAAGCAAAUCCAAACCAUGCACAAAGGAGGGUUGGUGGGGGAUGGGGGAUGGUUCGAUGGGGUUGAGGGGGACAAAGCUCAACCUUUUACCAAGGCUAGAACCUUUAACUAUAACUAAAUCUGACAAGUUAACUAAGUUACUUAACCAGAGAAAUUAAUUAGGGUAAAAUAUUGUAAUCUGUAUAGGUAUAAAAACCGAUACUGCGCUUACUUGCAUCGAUGGUAAAAAUAAAAUUUCUUUACUGAAUUUUGUGCGCAAAAUUUCAGAAAAAGGACAAUAAUGUUUUGCUCCAACAGCUAUUAGCGACGCUUUUAAGCGUCGGUAGAAACCAUUCCGACGUUUUCCAAAGCGUCGGUAAAGCGUCGCCUAUGCUACAGUGAAAAAAAUAUUUUCCGACGCUUUUAAAAGCGUCGCUAAUUCCAAUUUACCGACGCUUUUAAGCGUCGCGCUUUACCGACGCUUUAAAGCGUCGCUCUUUACCGACGCUUUAAAGCGUCGCGAAUUACCAUUUGCCAAAAAAAAAACCAAUUGUGGUCUGCAUCUUCUCCUCCCUUCAGAAAUACAAACAACCUCCUCGAUCAGUACCUUUAUUCCAUCUGUGCGGAGGGGUUGGGUUUGGCUAUAUAAACAGUUAUUUUUUUUUCAGAUCUGCCGAUGUGAUGAGGUGAUUUUUGGAUUCCGACGACGCUUUUAACGACGCUUUUAAGCGUCCGACGCUUUUAAAAAGCGUCGGCAAAUGUUGACGGGGAAAAUUUUUUGCCGACGCUUGGAAUAAGCGUCGGCAAAUAAGAGUCGCUAAUGUCCAAGUUUCUUGUAGUACAACAUGUGGAAUUGUUUUUAGGAAAUUAGAAAUCUCAUUCCAUUUUGAUUUGAAUUAAUAUAAUUUUAUCCUCAAAUUUCAUAUAAUUUAAAUUUAUUAAAAUAUUAUCAUGUGUUUCUCAAUUUGCCAAGCUCAAAAUAUGCACAUAGAUAAUCAUCAAAUACUCUCCUUUUCAUUUUUCUGGUUUAAGGUCCAACAGCAAAAGCCUUCUUAGCUUGGCAUGGGUAGCUCAAUCCCCUUCAGAAUGACACAUGUAGUUAUUUCCCUUUUCUUUUUCCUUUCUUUCUUUCUUUCUAUUUUUUAAGAAAAGGGAUAAUAGCCCCAGCCACGCACAAGAUUAUUUACAAAUUACAGAAAUUAUAUCAUCUUGUUACCAAAAUUUCCUUCUACACAUUGCUGACC
rnacentral:lncRNA from 1 species